rnacentral:misc_RNA from 1 species
CUGGAUCACCUCCUUUCUAUGGAGCUUUAAGCCACUGUUCAGUUUUGGGAGGUCAAGAGACCUUUCAGGACCUUGACAACUGCACAAUAAAGAUCAAGCUAGUAAGGGCGCAUGGUGGAUGCCU